rnacentral:misc_RNA from 1 species
ACUUGUUACUUGUACAUUCAUACUCAGCAAUUCACAUUGGCCCCUUAUGCCGAUUGUACAGCUUCAUCAUGAACUCUCCUCUUCCUGGAUAUAGAGAAGUCUUCUACUCUCUAGCUGCAAGAACUGCUGGUCCUUCCACCUUGAAAGUAGCACCCCAGAUUUCUUCCUCCUCAGCAGGCACUGCAGUGAUCUUAUUCUUAGGAUUCUCAAAGCUUCUCAGUUCUCC